rnacentral:rRNA from 1 species
UACGGGGGGGGCAAGCGUUGUUCGGAAUUACUGGGCGUAAAGGGCUCGUAGGUGGCCAACUAAGUCAGACGUGAAAUCCCUCGGCUUAACCGGGGAACUGCGUCUGAUACUGGAUGGCUUGAGUUUGGGAGAGGGAUGCGGAAUUCCAGGUGUAGCGGUGAAAUGCGUAGAUAUCUGGAAGAACACCGGUGGCGAAGGCGGCAUCCUGGACCAACACUGACACUGAGGAGCGAAAGCCAGGGGAGCAAACGGG